rnacentral:rRNA from 1 species
GACGAACGCUGGCGGCGUGCUUAACACAUGCAAGUCGAACGGAAAGGCCCUGCUUUUGUGGGGUGCUCGAGUGGCGAACGGGUGAGUAACACGUGAGUAACCUGCCCUUGACUUUGGGAUAACUUCAGGAAACUGGGGCUAAUACCGGAUAGGAGCUCCUGCUGCAUGGUGGGGGUUGGAAAGUUUCGGCGGUUGGGGAUGGACUCUCGGUUUAUCAGCUUGUUGGGGGGGUAGUGGCUUACCAAGGCUUUGGCGGGUAGCCGGCCUGGGAGGGUGACCGGCCACAUGGGGCCUGCGGUACGGCCCAGACUCCUACGGGAGGCAGCGGUGGGGAAUCUUGCCCAAUGGGCGGAAGCCUGAUGCAGCAACGCCGCGUGCGUGAUGACGGCCUUCGGGUUGUAAACCGCUUUCGCCUGUGACGAAGCGUGAGUGACGGUAAUGGGUAAAGAAGCACCGGCUAACUACGUG